GAUUAACGCUGGCGGCGUGCCUAACACAUGCAAGUCGAACGAGGUAGCAAUACCUAGUGGCAGACGGGUGAGUAACGCGUGGUCAACCUACCGUUGAGUGGGGAUAACUAGCCGAAAGGUUAGCUAAUACCGCAUACGUCUCCGAGUGGCAUCACUUGGCGAAUAAAAGGAGCAAUCCGCUCGAUGACGGGACCGCGUCCCAUUAGCUAGAUGGUGGGUAACGCCUACCANGGCACCGAUGGGUAGCUGGUUUGAGAGAGCGACCAGCCACACUGGGACUGAGAAACGGCCCAGACUCCUACGGGAGGCAGCAGUGAGGAA
rnacentral:rRNA from 1 species